GGCGAGAUGGCAGAGGUUAAUGUAGUGGAUUGUAAAUCCAAUAAGGAGGGUUUGAGUCCUUCUCUCGCCA
rnacentral:tRNA from 1 species